AGUAAGAUAAGCUAAAUUUAAGCUAUUGGGCUCAUACCCUGAAGAUAUGGACUACCGUUCUUACUA
rnacentral:tRNA from 1 species